rnacentral:rRNA from 1 species
UAAUAGUGUAUAUUAAAGUUGUUGCAGUUAAAAAGCUCGUAGUUGAAUGUUGGUGUCGAACGAGCGGUCAGCUUCGGCUGUACUGCUCUCUCGACUCCUUCCUUCUGUGGACUACGUCGCACUUUACUGUGUGGCGCUAGGACGCAGAUCGUUUACUGUGAAAAAAUUAGAGUGUUCAAAGCAGGCCGUACGCUUGAAUACAUUAGCAUGGAAUAAUGGAAUAGGACGUCGGGCCUAUUUUGUUGGUUCUAGGACCGUCGUAAUGAUUAAUAGGGACAGUUGGGGCCGUUUAUAUUCUGUAGUCAGAGGUGAAAUUCUUGGAUUUACGGAAGAUAAACUACUGCGAAAGCAUUCGGCAAGGAUGUUUUCGUUAA